UGGCGGACGGGUGAGUAAUGUCUGGGAAACUGCCCGAUGAGGGGAGGAAUACUGAAGAAGUAGCUAAUACCGCAUAACGUCGCAAGACCAAAGAGGGGACCUUCGGGCCUCUUGCCAUCGGAUGUGCCCAGAUGGGAUUAGCUAGUAGGUGGGGUAACGGCUCACCUAGGCGACGAUCCCUAGCUGGUCUGAGAGGAUGACCAGCCACACUGGAACUGAGACACGGUCCAG
rnacentral:rRNA from 1 species